AAGAUUACAAACCCUAGCACACCCAUGGGCCCACCUGCCCAUGAGGUGUUUCUAUUUGGUGCUUAUAUCUGGUGCACAUUAUAACAAGGGACUUGAGUCCAAUAUAUAACAUUGAUAUUCUACAUUAUUUUAAUACUAGGCAAUGUGGGACUUCAUAUCAUAAUAUAUUUCAAACAAUCCCAACAAUCUCCACCUUGAUUGAAAUAGACGAAUAUCUCGCUCCUUAGGAAAUCUACACAAGAAUCUCCACCUUAGCGAAUAUAUGACUCCACUUUGCUCAAUGUCUAAUUCUCUUAAACAACUCUUCCACAUAAGAGUUUGCUCCCCUUCAGCAUAGACGUUCUGAGUAUCCUUGACGAUGUUACCAAGAGUCUAGCUCUCCAAACCUGUAGUGCAGCUUCCCGUACCGCCAUCAAAUGGAACAUGCCGCCUAGCCACCUAUUGCUAGGAAGUCUUUCAAUAUAUUGGAACUUCUACACAAAAGUUCACCAACAAUCAUCCUCUUCAAUACUCAGUCAAACUGAACCUUGGAGCUUCCUUGGAAAGCAUCAACUGCUACCAUCGUUGUCUACUCCGACAAUCCUAGUUCAAAAGAACUAUCAUACUCCACCAUAAGAAGUAUACCCACAGCACACACCAUGCGUCAAUGCUAACUAAUGUUUGUGUCACAUCCUUACAUCCAAGCCAAUGCCCAUGUCACACCUCUGCAUCUCUACCAAUGCUCGUCUUACAACUUGCAUCAAAGCCAAUGCCCAUGUCACACCUCUGCAUCAAAGUCAACCAUCGCCCUUGUGCUUUUGUGGAUCUGCUAACAAUUAAUAUCUUUCACUAUGACGUCUCACACACGCCAUUACGAUAUUCUCUUUCUCAUCUCCAAUGAGAACAUUCUCUCAACAUCUAGAGAGAUAUUCUCAGCAUCUAACUCAACACCUUUGUCUCUAUCUCCACCUUGAUCCUAACCCAAUACAUGAACUUAUGAGGUUCUAGAUCAAUACAUACAUCGCUCACACUACAGUUUCGCCAUGUUUCCUUCUCCUUCAAAUCAUCUACUCUAUCUUUGCCAUUACCUUUGACGCACCUUGUCUAGCCAUCACGCAUUCACCCUCUUUAGCCAUUAUCUGGGGUAUAGGUUAAGAGCCAUCUACCAAUUGGCUCUGAUACCAAUUGUUGGUGCAGCGGAAGCGAUCGUUGCGCAGCGUUGGCCACAAGCAAUCAAAUAAAGGCAUAGAAUAAAUAUAAGAGAAGAAACAAGAGAAUUUGUUAACAGGGUUCAGCCAAUUGUGCUUACGUCCCCGGGAGCGCUGAGCGGCUACCAAGAUAUUAUUAGAGAAUAAGGAUUACAAACUCUAGCACACCCAUGGGCCCACCUGCCCAUGGGGUGUUUCUA
rnacentral:lncRNA from 1 species